UUAAAUUGAAGAGUUUGAUCAUGGCUCAGAUUGAACGCUGGCGGCAGGCCUAACACAUGCAAGUCGAGCGGAAACGAGUUGUCUGAACCUUCGGGGAACGAUAACGGCGUCGAGCGGCGGACGGGUGAGUAAUGCCGGGGAAAUUGCCCUGAKGGGGG
rnacentral:rRNA from 1 species